UCAUUUAGAUAUACCUCACAAAAUAAUUUCCAAAUGUCUAUUUAGAUUAUUUUACCAAUUAAAUGUACUUGUAUUACAUUAACAUCUAACUUUCUCAAUACUUUCCCUUCUCUCUGUAGAGUUUCCAGUUUCUCUGUGUCUCUCCUGGAUCUCAGGCCUUAUCUCCUUUAAGCAUUUGAAGACAUCAGUCUCUGAACUGAAAGAUCGACAACAAGACAUCGACAACAAGACCAAGAUAUCUGAUGACGUGAUUCAAGUUCAGAUUGACCACCCUGCUGAGCCCAAGACUAGAGAGGAGUUCUUAGAAUACUCCUGCCAGCUGACGUUGGAUCCCAAUACAGCACAACAGUACCCAUGUCUGUCUGAGGAAAAUAGAAAGGUGACCAUUAGUUCUAAGGUUCAGUUAUAUCCUGAUCAUUCAGACAGAUUUACCUUCUUUAAGCAGGUGCUGUGUAGAGAGGCUCUGUCUGGAGCCUGCUACUGGGAGUGGAGCGGGAAAUGGGUUUGUAUAGCUGUCUCAUAUAAAAUAAUCAGCAGGAAAGGAGAUGGUAAUGAGUGUUUGGGGGUAGUGAUCAGUCUUGGAGGUUUGACUGCUAGACCUAGACCACAAUGCAGGAACACUGUCCUUCUAUAGCGUCUAUGACAAAAUGACCCUCCUCCACAGAGUCCAGGCCACAUUCACUCAGCCAUUCUAUCUUGGGUUCAUUUGCUGGAUCAUCUGAAGAUACUGACACCUAUUCAGUUACAAAGCUAUUAGUCUGCUGGCCUUGUUGAUACAUGUACAGUAGGACAAAGAUUGAUUGACUGUGGCCGAAGUUUGACGUAAGAUUGCAGAUAUCAUAGAGUACAGACGGCAUAGUUGCUUAAUUUGCAUUUACAGAGGGGUGAACAAAACCAAGUGUAUAUGAACGCAUAAUGAGACGUUCAUGCACUGGAAGGAGUUCUUGACAGGUGAAACAGUCCAAUCAUCAUUGAGUUCAGUUUAUUCAGUGUCUGGUGGCACAACACUGCUGAACUAUUUCAGGGGAAGAGACAUUUGUACUUGAUUGGGAUGAGGUCGUUUGUCUUGGUUGCUACGCAUUAAAUGAGGAGUUAAUUGGCUCAUUUCAUGAAGUGGAGCUUUGGUUCAUGUUCACUGUACAUUUGGUAGUUAUUAUUAUUUGCCUAAAUGUGUAGCUACACUGUACUUGCCUAUAACUACUGUACCAUGUUAAUACACUGGUAAUAGGGACACGUUGUAAAGUGAGACCGUUGUUUUUGUUCUAGUCCAAUAAAACUGUGCCGAUGA